rnacentral:lncRNA from 1 species
GUCAUUGCCACAGCCCUUGAGAUGUUUAGAGACUCUUAAUAUUCUGCCAGCCACAGGACAGGCAAAACACAGGGUGGGGUGGACAAGCAAUGGUGCCUCACAGUUCAUCCUCUCACCCAACAGGCCCCACUGUUGGGUUCUCCAGCUGAUGAGUCACACCAGAAGUGAAGGGUCAUUCCUGCAUCUUGCAGGAUGAUGGACAACUUCAUUAAGCUGGAGAGGUUGAAGUAAUGCAGGAGGGAGCAGGGAUGUGAACCCAGAAAAGGAGGGGAAGUGCAGGAAUUUGGCGUGUGGGCAGAGAUGGAGCAGUGGGAAACCUGUCCAAUGACCUCCUGGAGCCAGGCAGGAGCUUCAUCACGUCACCUUUCCAGGACGGCAGAGCCGGGCAGUGUCUGGGAGAAGGACCUUGGAGCAGAAGGCUCCAUUCCUUGGCCAAACCUUCCAUUACCUUGUGUGGUCUUUGGCAACUCUCUGAACACUCCGUGCCUCAGUUUCUCAACCUGGAGAACAGGAUGAUCCCAAUCAGCAAAGCUGGAUGAGUUUGCAGUGCUGCACCCCAGAGGAGGAGGGCAGGGUCUGGACCUCCUCAUGUCCACUGAUGUCACCCUCAUCCUCUCAUACUCCCACAGGGACAUGCUGUAGAUCCCAAAUGGCCAGAGAAUGUCAUAUAUAGAACAAGCAUUAAUGCCCGGGGUGCAGAGGCUCCAUCCCAGCACUGGCCUCUGGAUUGCUUUGUUUUCCUGCUCGGCUGAGUCGCUAACCUUCCAAUAAACACCAGAGUCAUUAUCA